CAUAAAAUUCGUGCCUUACAUUGGUGGGCUCACUAGAGACACUUGCAAGUUUAGAAGUUCCCUGUGCUCUGGGCCUGUGAUGAUCAUCUGCGGACUCCUCCUAAUGGUGAAUCUAAGGAAACAGAGCCUGUGGUGACUUGGGACAUCGUGUUGGGACCACGUGUAACUUGGCAAAAUCAAACAUCAGAAGCAAAGGAGAGAAGGAGAGAUCUGAAUCCUGGCAUGCUUUAAAGAACAUGCUCCCAAUGACCUAAAGUCCUUUCACCAGCCGAAGCCGCUGUGGAUGAAGGCCACCAGCUGACCAAGUUGCCCCAGUGCCUCUUUCCUUCACUGAGCCACACUGUCCUGGCUGGUUUUGAGCUGCUAAUUUUGCUAGUUUUGCAGUGAACAUGUUGAUUAAACUGCUAGCAUCCAUUGGACCCAGGGCUGGGACAUCCAACAACUAUUUCA